UGGCGCGGUGAAUACGUUCCCGGACCUUGUACACACCGCCCGUCAAGCCAUGGAAGUCGGGAGACCUGAACGCCGGUGUCAAAAGCCGGUCAGGGUAAAACCGGUAACUGGGCU
rnacentral:rRNA from 1 species